CAAAUUGGAUAACUGGACAGGUAA
rnacentral:miRNA from 1 species